rnacentral:rRNA from 1 species
UUAGCUUGCUAAGGCCGAUGGCGACCGGCGCACGGGUGAGUAACACGUAUCCAACCUGCCGUCUACUCUUGGACAGCCUUCUGAAAGGAAGAUUAAUACAAGAUGGCAUCAUGAGUCCGCAUGUUCACAUGAUUAAAGGUAUUCCGGUAGACGAUGGGGAUGCGUUCCAUUAGAUAGUAGGCGGGGUAACGGCCCACCUAGUCUUCGAUGGAUAGGGGUUCUGAGAGGAAGGUCCCCCACAUUGGAACUGAGACACGGUCCAAACUCCUACGGGAGGCAGCAGUGAGGAAUAUUGGUCAAUGGGCGAGAGCCUGAACCAGCCAAGUAGCGUGAAGGAUGAAGGCUCUAUGGGUCGUAAACUUCUUUUAUAUGGGAAUAAAGUAUUCCACGUGUGGAAUUUUGUAUGUACCAUAUGAAUAAGGAUCGGCUAACUCCGUGCCAGCAGCCGCGGUAAUACGGAGGAUCCGAGCGUUAUCCGGAUUUAUUGGGUUUAAAGGGAGCGUAGGUGGAUUGUUAAGUCAGUUGUGAAAGUUUGCGGCUCAACCGUAAAAUUGCAGUUGAAACUGGCAGUCUUGAGUACAGUAGAGGUGGGCGGAAUUCGUGGUGUAGCGGUGAAAUGCUUAGAUAUCACGAAGAACUCCGAUUGCGAAGGCAGC